rnacentral:rRNA from 1 species
UACAGAGGGUGCAAGCGUUGUUCGGAAUCAUUGGGCGUAAAGGGCGUGUAGGCGGUCUGUUAAGUCAUGUGUGAAAUCCCUCGGCUCAACCGGGGAACGACGCAUGAAACUGACAAGCUAGAGUACCAAAGAGGGGGGUGGAAUUCCUGGUGUAGCGGUGAAAUGCGCAGAUAUCAGGAGGAACACCGGUGGCGAAGGCGGGUCUCUGGGCCGAUACUGACGCUGAGGAGCGAAAGCGUGGGGAGCGAACAGG